rnacentral:rRNA from 1 species
AUUGAACGCUGGCGGCAGGCCUAACACAUGCAAGUCGAGCGAACCUAGCUUGCUAGGUGAGCGGCGAACGGGUGAGUAACACGUAGGAAUCUGCCCGAUAGUGGGGGACAACGUCUCGAAAGGGACGCUAAUACCGCAUACGCCCUACGGGGGAAAGCAGGGGAUCUUCGGACCUUGCGCUAUCGGAUGAGCCUGCGUCGGAUUAGCUAGUUGGUGGGGUAAAGGCCUACCAAGGCGACGAUCCGUAGCUGGUCUGAGAGGAUGAUCAGCCACACCGGAACUGAGACACGGUCCGGACUCCUACGGGAGGCAGCAGUGGGGAAUAUUGGACAAUGGGGGCAACCCUGAUCCAGCCAUGCCGCGUGUGUGAAGAAGGCCUUCGGGUUGUAAAGCACUUUAAGCUGGGAGGAAGGUUCGCUGGCUAAUAUCCAGCGGAAUUGACGUUAUCAGCAGAAUAAGCACCGGCUAACUCCGUGCCAGCCGCCACGGUAA